GUAUUACUUGGCUUUUUAAAUGUACCACACUAUUCACCGACGCCGAGGUUUGGCUCUCGGGCACCGUGACACUUGAUAUCUUGUGUGAAAAUACUAGACAGACUACACUCCAUGCAUGAUGAUGCAUGAUUUACAAUCAGAUAAAUGUGAAGCACUUUAUUCCCUGAUUCAAUGGCUGGAUGUGAAGCGUCGUUCAUGCAUCGUCCAAUCGUUCAAAAACGUCGUGUGUAUAGCAGCUCUCUAUCUUAUGCGUCCAUGCGGUGCUGCGGUCCAUCGGUUGAGCAGUAUUCGUACGUGUAUAAGAGCCUUAAUUGAUUCGCUGCAGCCUUAAUUGCUGAAUGUUCUUGGCACAGAUUGUCAUUCCCUUGCACUUUGUAAUUUUCAGAAAUUCAUACUUCUCACUUCUGUUAUGGACUUAGACUGGUUGUAAUGAGGAGUAUCAUAUACUAGUAUCAUGCAUAUGAUACUGGUGUAUGAUACUACCUCCCUAAUGCAUAGUACUUCCUCCGUUUUUAUUUAUUCCGCAUAUUAGCUUUGGUCAAAGUUAAACUUUAUAAACUUUGACAAAGUUUGUAGACAAAAAUAUUAACAUAUACAAUAAGAAAUCAACAUCAUUAGAUUCAUUAUCAAAUGUACUUCCACAUAGUAUAAAUUUGUUAUGGUAAAUAUUUAUAUUUUCUUCUAUAAACUUGGUCAAACUUUAGGAAGUUUGACUUCAGUCAACUCUAAUAUGUGAAGUAAAUAAAAACAGAGGGAGUAUCAUAUAUUAGUAUGAUGUAGUACUUUAUUUAUUGCCACGCAUAACACAAAGUAGCAUAUCAUUUAUUAUGAUACGGUAUCAUGAUAUGAUACUACACCCUCUCUUUCUUCAUUUAAUGCUAUGACACCUCAUCAAAAUUGUCUAGUUAGCAUGCAUGAUACUAUCUAUAAUACUACCAUUACGACCAGCUUUUUCCUUCACGUUUAGAUUUGAAGUUUUUGUUACUGUCUCAGUAGUCAGUACUAUAUUUAUAGACCUUUUGCUGGUAGGAAAUAGGUUAUAUUAAUUGUUGCGUGCAGACUGUAGUUCCGUUUAGCAUGGUCCUAAGUUUAUGUCUUCCAUUCUUACAGAGGUAUCCUUAGCAUACCAAUUAAGCUCAUGUUUGUCUCUAGAUCAUAGCUAUACAUCACAGAAAAUCUUGUUAUAACAAGUGGUCCAACCUUACAGCUCUUGUAAAUACUAACUAGCCAUUCUCUGCUUGGUUCAUCUGUCAAACCUGCAUUGUAUCAUUGUAAGGAAUUAUUAGGACUACUUUGACACUAAACAUGGGUUGCACUGAACAUGGUCAGUUCAUGAAAAAGCUCACUGUGUUAGUAGGAUACUUCAAGGAUGGUUCCUCUGUAACCCGUUAAAGCUGUUGUGGAGGCCUGUCGAAAGCCUGUACAUGGUGCAGUUCACAAGAUACAACAUUGUGGGGAAAAACCUGGCAUGGAGGAGGAUAUUCCCUUCUGUACCUACAGCCUAACUUCACUGGCGGAUCUGCCAAGGCCCAGUGCGACGCCUACAUGGUUCAUUGAUGUCAUUGGUAGGAUAACCAUGGUCUCGGAUAUCAUCCUUAUCCAUCCAUGCAUCAUAGUGGCUUCGAAAACAAGGCCAGUUAUGCUCAAGUAUCUGCUAUAAGUUAUUUGGGCCAGGAGAUCCAGAUUACCAUGUGAUGGUGCUGUUGAAUUUGACGUAGACAUGGUCCAUGCAGUGUGUGAAAAGGAGCCUCUUAUUCCUAUAUUUGUAGGAACCUUACCCAAGACUGUUCAUUCUUUUUUAGAAAAGGAGGAUGACCCCCGGCCUCUGCAUCUGGGAGAUGCAUACGGCCACUUUAUUGAUUAUUCUCGAGGACCUUACAAAGUAUUACAACAAUGUGCCUGAAUCCACCAUCUUGGCAACAUAUGUCGCUACUCCUAUCCAAUAGCAACAUAUGCCGCUACUCCUAUCCAAUAUGAUGAAGGGGUGCUAGCUGGGCCACUACCCAAACCACUCACCUAAGCCUAACAUCA